rnacentral:rRNA from 1 species
ACUGCCGCAGUAUUCUGACUGUGCUAAGGUAGCAUAAUCACUUGUUUUUUAAUUGAAAACUAGAAUAAACGGUAUGACGAGGGAAACACUGUCUCCUUAAAAUUAUGAACUUUAUUUAAAGGUAAAAAAGCCUUUUUAACCUAAAAAGACGACAAGACCCUAGAACCUAUUUAUUCAUUAAGCAAAGGCUUGAAUAUUAAAUUUACUGGGGCGGUAAAAAAUUCAAUCAUUUUAAUCAUCCCCACUAUGAGUGUUAACAAAUACCCAAAUAGUAAUUAAAAAGGUACUCUAGGGAUAACAGCACCCCACAUCUUUAGAGGCCUUAUCGCUAGAUGUAGAGUGACCUCGAUGUUGAAUUGAAGUUCCUGGUUUGAGCAG